CGGGAUGAUAUCAACUUCCCUAUAACGGACCCGUCAUUACAAACACAUGUAGGAAACAUUGCUAGGCAGUGGGGAGGAUUUUGUGACGAAUACUGCCCCCGUCUUGACCAGUUCUGCUUGACUUGUGAGUAGUCCCAGCAGAUAUGACAGUAGAUUUUAAGGCUCUGCUGAUGGGUUCUCUCUUCCUUGUGGAUUACCUUGUGUUUGAGAGACCGAAGAACCUGAAGAGACAGAUUACCUGUCUCCUGUAGACAAUGUGUAUAUCGUAUGACAAAAAUAAAAAAUACACUUGCUUUGAAACUAAACAUCUUCAAAGACUUACUUGAAUGGACAGUUCUUAAAUGAUUUUUUUAUUUGUGUUGUUAUCUGAUUUUUAUUGUUUUAUAUUUCAUUGUCUCCCCAUACUAUGGUAGGGUGUAUUGACUUUGUCUGUCUGUCUGUCUGUCCGUAUGUCACAAAAGUUCAUUUAGACUCCUCUGAGACUACUGGUGAGAUUUCAGCAAAUCUUUAUAGGAAGGUUUAGUUUUAGGGCUAGUUUUGCGUAUCUUCCACAUUUUCUUUUUUAUUGAUUUUUUGAUGGAGUUUUGGCCGCAUAAAUGUUAAAUUUGUAUAAAACUUUUUGACACAAGAGACACUUCUGCAGCACAAUCAGCUUGUAUUGCAAACAGUGCUGUUUUACCUCUCUGGAUAUCUUUGCUCUGCAUAUUCAUUAAAACUUUUACUCUGCCAUUUUUAAACAAAGCAGUAUGGGAAGCCAUGUGCUUUUUCUAGAAGCAGUCUCAAGUUUUAGAAGCAGUCUCAAGUUUUAUACCAUUUUAUGACCUUCAGAUAAAGAAAUGAACAACUUGUUGAAUAGGAUACAAACUUUGUCAGGAUUUUGUUAUGUUCUAAAGAACUAAACCUUUUCAUAUGUUUUUUUUAUAUUAAGAAAAGAGAAUAUUCAAAAAAGCAACUUUACUGAUGUGUGAAUUAUUGAUGUCACCAACUACAUGUAUGUGACAAAGUUUUAUCAAUAUGUUGUAAAUAUACAUGUAUACAUUAGUAGAAAUAACAGUAUGUAUGGUGUACUUUUUAACAAUUAUUUAACCAUUAUUGAUAUUUUAUCCAACGUGUUUUUAUCUGAUAAUUGUUAAACAAGAGAACAAACUACUUCUGUUGAUUAUUUCUCAUUAUUUCCAUGACAGCUGUCACAAACAACUUUCUGUUUCUAAUAUAUUGUUGACAUAAAAUUAUUUUGUUACUAUCUACUGUAGAUUAGGUAACUUUUACAAAAGUUUUAUUUUUCUGUUUCAUGGUUAGCAACCGUAUUGAUGGUGUAAAGCAUUCACUAAACACAAGUUUCUUCUGUUUAAGGACAUAAUGCUGAGUGGUAUUAUUCAGGAGUGAUAGUGAAAAUAAAACCACUACCAACAAGUAUACAGUAUGAAAAUCUGUACAGUGUCAACUUUGACAACAUAUUGAACUUUACCAUUAUAGAAAUAAAAAAGGCUGUAGAAUUCAAAUGGGACAAAUUCAUGAUGAACCUUAAACAUUUUUUCUGAAGUCUGUGUUUUAUGAAUGAUAUAUUCAUACACCACUGAAAAUAAUGGCAAUAAAUACUAUCAGAGUGAGUACCCUAGAGAGUGGCAGGUACCGGUAUGUACAGAUGCUCAGCUGGUGUUUCCUGUCAUCAUUCUCGGAGGUGUUUAGAUAGAAAAUACGUUGUAUUUCAGAUUGAUUAAAUAGUUGAAAGUUACUGUUCUAUUUUCAUAUUGUUUGCAACUACUGCAAUCUACCCCAGGUAUUUGUGACACUUGUGUACUGUGAUAUAUUUGGGACAUACCAUUUUAUAAGGCAGGAGAUGCAAGGUGCUUGCUACAUUAUCAAUACAUGUUUUUGAAUUCUUAAUCUUUUAUGUGGAUAAUGACUACUUGAUUUUAUUUUUCUGUGUUUCAAUUUCUGCUAAUACUUGUUUAACCAGUGAAAAAUAUUUUUCCACUGAAUAAUAUAGAAUAAUUGCAGUAUAACUCAAUUGAAAGAGCAUCAACUUGAGCAUUGGGACAAAUACCAACAAGUAUACAGUAUACCCUAACCUGCUGUCAUCACCAGUCAGAAAUAAAAUGGUGAAUUCCCAGAAUUGAUCUGAGCUCAUUAUCUUAUAUUAUUUUUAUCAAGUGUGUUUUACUUUAGUGAUAACAAAAGAACAAAAUCAUUGUGUGCAUGUUACAAAUUGUUACUUCCUUGUUAUGCAUGUCAUAUGUUUAUGCAAACAGCAUUAAAUAAUAGCUGAUGUUAUGGGAAAAGUUACUUUUUUCCUGGUUAAGGAAUUAUUUAGAUGUCAUUUUAAAUGGUAAUGGCUCUUUUUCAAGUAUUUUCAUCUUUCAGUGAUAACACAUGUUGUUUCAUGUUACAACGUCUGCAGUAUUCCGAGGGAUGGGUGAGGGUACCAAAGUACCUAGAGGGACUCUGAAGAUGUUAUGACUUGAAAUUAGCAUUAAUUUUGUUAAUGCUAUUCUGAUAUAAAAGGUGUUAAAAGAAAUAAAUGAAUAUAUUGUCCCUCAGCAUCAUUAAAUUUCUUUGAAAUGCACUCUUUUAUCAUGUUGACUACAUUUCCUUUUGAAUUAUCCAUUUUAGGGCUGUACUACAUUUAUGUUUUGCCACUGAACAUGCUCAUAUGUAAAAGGUGUUUUAACAGCAUGUGAGGGCACAAUCUCUCUGUUAACACAUGUUUACUUUCCCUUCCAUUAAAGCACCCCUAAAAAUGACCAGAACAGCAGUUUUAUGUUAGAAUAUUUUAAUACAUGGACCUGGUUCCUGAUAAUUGUCAUUAUUGUUGAAAUCUAUUUUAAAUGUAAUUGCGGAAAAUCUUCGAGACUUGAUUUGAGAGAAUACUCUGUUGUAGAAAUACCUUAAGAUGGUCAAUCAUUAUACCAAGAACCACUUAAAUCAUGUAGUGUGUUGACAUGUAUCAUGUUGUACUACUGCACAGCAGAUAUGGUUAAAAAAUUGAAAAAAAUCGUAUCAUAAAAAUUGGGUAUAUCACAAAUAGUAACAGAUAGGGAUUUGGACUUUGCCUACUUUCUUUUUGCCUCAUUUCAUUCUGAUAUGUGCUCAUCGAACAGUUGUUUUGCUCAAUGGAAGAAAAGUCCCUAACAAGGCAAGUUACUAUAUUUUGGAUCCAUGUUUGAAACUUGCAAACGCCUUAAACAUAUUUUACACAGCCUGGUGGAUAGCCUUUUUUUAUCAUUUUAAGGACAUUGUUUUAUUACAUGUAUUUUCUUUAUGAUUAAACGAAACAUUUAAACAGAAAAUAGCAAAUGCACAUAUUUAUGUUUAUAUUGUGAAAAUACUGGGUAAAAAAAUGCACAUCUGUGAUUUUAGACAUUGAUAUUUCCCUUUAUUGCUUGAGAUAUGGGAGUUAGAACAUUUUUUCUACAGAUUUUCGUUUGGACCUUUGAAGCUAGUGACUCCAAAAAUACAAUCAUUAUCUUUACAGUCUAAGAUUUACAUAUAAAGUGAUAUUGUAUAUGAUUUUACUAGUUUUACACAGCGCUUUAACAACUACUUCAUAUCAAAACAUUUCUUUUUUUUGCCUUUCUUAACCUAAUUUUUACAACUGUUAGAACUUCAUAUAUUGAUGUUAAUCUAAUGUUUUACUGUUUAUGUUGUUAUUUCUUAAUGAUUUUCUCAAUAUGACAGUAUUUAAAAUGCUUUUUGAUACCUAGCACAAAUUUCUGGCAAGUACAUUAAUGAAAUAACAGUCCAAGGCCUUCUUGCCAGUUGAUCUCUUUUUCAAACGAAAAGUGAUGUAAAGCUUUAUAAAUAUUUCAUUUUAAUUUUUUCGUUAGAAAUCAAGGUAUGAAAAAUUUAUGCACAAUGCAUCUGCACAAAUAUUAAUCCGAUUAUAAUUUAUAUACAUGUAUUGCUAAUUAUAUCUGCAUAUAAAACACUGCUUUAUGAUUCUUAGCUAAAACAUUAUGAUCUAUAUAUUACUAGUAUUUGUACAGAAAUAAAAUCAGUAGAUAAUUCUUGAA